rnacentral:lncRNA from 1 species
UUUAAUAUAUUAGUAUUAUAUCUAGGUGCCUCUAUGUAUUUAUUAUAUAUUUAAUUUCAUUUCACUUUUUUGUUUCCUCAUAUAUUAAUCAAAGACAAUUUCUUGCGAUUUUGAAAACCUCAUAACUCCUAAAUCCUAAAAACUUGCUCGAGACCCUAAGACCCUAGAACCCUAAAUCCUACAACCCUAAGACCCUAAGACCCUAGAAUCCUUAACCCUAAGACCCUAGAAUCCUAGAACCCUAAGAUCCCAAGACCUUAAGACCCUAAGACCCUAAGACCCUAAACCCUAAACCCUAAACUUUAGAAUCCUAGAAUCCUAAGACCCUAAGACCCUAAGACUCUAGAAUCCUAAGAUCCUAGAACCUUAAGACCUUAGAACCCUAAUACCCACAAACUCUAAGACCCUCAAAUUCUAAGACCCUAGAACUCUACAACCCUAAGACCUUAAAACCCUAAUAUCCUAAAACCCUAGAAUCCUAAUAUCCUAAGACCCUAAGACCCUAGAACCCUAAGAUCCUAGUACUCCAAGACCCUAGAACCCCAAGACCCUAGAACCUUAAGACCCUAAGACCCUCAAAUCCUAAGACCCUAAGACCUACAACCCACAACCCAUCUAGUCAGCAUGAAUAACAAAUUUGGUGACACCAUACACCUAGGAUUUGUUUUGGCGUAGUGUCACGGACAUACAUAUAAUUACCUAUAUGAAUAGAUAAAAGUAUGUAAAAGUAGGUUAAUUGUGUAAUAUCUUCUAGAGAAGCUUCUUAGAAGCUUCAUAGACGCUGCUUUGACUUUAUAGGAGUCUAUAGUUGACUUUUAGGUUAGAAACUUGGUCAACAAGUUAGCCAUGUGCCACGCAUGUUGGAAGCUUAAAGAACAAGCUAACUACGUGGUCCAUCCAUAGAAAACUUGCCUUGCAAGCAAAGGCAUGUGGCCUAGAAAGUCAACAUAUAUUGGAGGUCUUAUAGAACAUCGCCACGUGGCUUCUAGUUAGAUAGUAUAUAUAGAGGCAAGAGUGAAGCCCUCUUCACUCUUGUCAACUCCUUUCUUGCUUCUAGUCUAGUUUCAAGGGUCUCUAAUUUUCUUGUAUUUUGGCAAUAGCCAUUCUAGUUUCUUUCUUAAUAUACAUAUUUCUAUUUUGUCCCAUUUCUUUUUGAGAAAAGUCUCACUUACUCUUUAGCUUUCAUCGAGUUCUUGUCCUUGACACGUAGCCAAAUUUGGUAUGCAUUCCAACUCUUUACAUAGUUCUCACAUGAUAACAAAUAUAAAACUCAGAUUCCGAAUUAAGGUCCCUAAACCCUAAAACCUGAAAAAUGAAACUCAUAUUUUUGAGAAACAAAAACGUUUAUAGAUGUCUUUGAGACAAUAGAAGGCUUGGCAAAAUUUCAAACUGAAAAAAGUUGUGAUACAUUGAGAGAUAUGUAGGAUCAAAAACCUCUAAGACACUCUUGUAACCCUAAAUCCUAAACCCUAAUCCUAAACCUUCUAAAUCCUAAACCCUAGAAAUAUAUAAAAAAUAGUAUACAUAUAAUAUUUUGAAACAAAAAAGGACAUAUACGUACAUAUGCUAUUUAAUAUAUUAGUAUUAUAUCUAGGUGCCUCUAUGUAUUUAUUAUAUAUUUAAUUUCAUUUCACUUUUUUGUUUCCUCAUAUAUUAAUCAAAGACAAUUUCUUGCGAUUUUGAAAACCUCAUAACUCCUAAAUCCUAAAAACUUGCUCGAGACCCUAAGACCCUAGAAUCCUAGAACCCUAAAUCCUACAACCCUAAGACCCUAAGACCCUAGAAUCCUUAACCCUAAGACUCUAGAAUCCUAGAACCCUAAGAUCCCAAGACCUUAAGACCCUAAGACCCUAAGACCCUAAACCCUA